GUAUGAGAUAAACUAUUAGUUGCCUACUCAAAACUCAGUAUCUGCUUUUACAUGGUAAAAUAGUGGUCCUCAAAUUUUAGUGUGCAUCAGAAUCCCCUGAAAUUCUUGUUAAAACUCCAUUUGUGAAGCCCUACCUUUUUCUGACUCAGUAGGUAAAGAUUGUUCCUGAGAAUUGGCUUUUCUAGCAAGUUCCCAUGUGAUGCUGAUGAUGCUAUUCUGUGAACCUGACUCAGAACCACUUGAGUAUUCCUUGAGUAACAAGAAAUUUGACAGAGAGUUUCUCUCUGGAACUCUGGAAGAGUUGAGACUGUUCAAGGAAAUUUGAGUACUGAUGCUGGUCACCUCCGCUAUCCCAGUGCACGGUGGAAAUUUCCAGAGGCUUGUGAUAUGUGCUGAUGACAUCACCUCUCUGCUAGCUAAUGAAAGGUCGUGUUAUGGAGUAAGGUUUGCCAGAUUAAAUGAGCAGUUUGUACCAGUGGGGAGAAGUCCAGCUAACUAGACAAACUAGGAGGAGAAUUUAUCACCGUGGAAGGCUGAGCACAAUGCACUAACGACAUUCCACGUUCCAGACAUAGGAUGUGAAUUAUACUACCUGCAAUCUUUAUUUAUAGUUGAAAAUAUCAUAUUUGCAAUGUAGAAAGGCUUAUUCAUUUCUACCAGCUGGAAACCUAAAAGAUUUGGCAAACUUCUGUGUGAGGUCAGCUGGCUCUUUGGUUAUCUUUUUCGGUUUGGUUCCUGCCUGUGACUUCUGGGUUUUCUUCGUUGAUAUAUUGAAUUUAUUAAAUCUGGCCAAUGUAGAAGAUAAACAUGAACACAUUUCAUUCAUUCAUUCACUCAUUCCUGUUUUAUUGUUACUGUGCUUUAGAAAUCAAUUGCUAGGAAAUGUACCAACUUUAAUCAAACUAGUCUAACAGCCUAGAAAUUUUCCAAAUUUCCUCUGUGUAUUAAAUGAAGUUCCGAAGAAUUAACUUGAAAUGAUAGAUCCAUAUCUCCUAAUAGGUACAGCUGUGUUAAAUCAUAUGAGAAUUUACUCACAAGUAUUCAGAAUCGUAUGAAGAUUACGAAAUGUAUAUAUUCACUGUUAAAUAAUUCAAAUAAAUCUACAUGUGGGAUUUAUUCCAUUUAUAUUCGUGGGGGUAAAUAUAAAGAAAAAAUUGGCAUAUGUUUUCUGGGAAAUAGGUUAAGAUUGAUUUUCAUUCAGCAAAUACUUAUCAAGCUUCUUCUAUGAUAUCAAGAACUAUGCUAUGCACUGGGGAAUAAAAAUUGAAAAAGACGGCGCUUGUGUGCAAGUAGUGCAGUCUAGUGGCGUGGCGGGGAUACACAAGUUGUAUAUCUAUGCUGAUUUUUUAAACUCUUACAAACUUUUUUUAUUUUGAGGAAGAUUAGCCCUGAGCUAACAUCUGCCGCCAAUCCUCCUCUUUUUGCUGAGGAAGAUUGGCCCUCAGCUAACAUCCGU